rnacentral:misc_RNA from 1 species
UUUCCGUAGGUGAACCUGCGGAAGGAUCAUUAACAAAUUCCAAACACGCGUCUUUGCCUGAGAAAGGUCCUCCGCGACUCCGGUCACAAGGGGGCCCCUCCGGUCAUAUGACAAACACUUACAUUCACAAUUGACAACCACAGGAUAUCCACAACUUUAAUCGUUCAAACAACUUUUAACAAUGGAUCUCUUGGCUCUUACAUCGAUGAAGAACGCAGC